rnacentral:rRNA from 1 species
UCCGUAGGGAGCGAUCGUUGUCCGGAUUGAUUGGGCGUAAAGGGCCCGUAGGCGGUCGGGAAAGUCGGUGGUGAAAUCUCAGAGCUCAACUCUGAGAGGUCUGCCGAUACUGCUCUGACUAGAGUUUGGUAGGGGAUCACGGAAUUCCAGGUGUAGCGGUGAAAUGCACAGAUAUCUGGAGGAACACCGAUGGCGAAGGCAGUGAUCUGGGCCAAUACUGACGCUGAGGGGCGAAAGCGUGGGGAGAGAACAGG